AUUGAACGCUGGCGGCAUGCCUAACACAUGCGAGUCGAACGGCAGCGCGGGGGCAACCCUGGCGGCGAGUGGCGGACGGGUGAGGAAUGCAUAGGAAUCUGCCCGGUUGUGGGGGAUAACGUAGGGAAACUUACGCUAAUACCGCAUACGACCUUCGGGUGAAAGUGGGGGACCUUCGGGCCUCACGCGAUCGGAUGAGCCUAUGCCCGAUUAGCUAGUUGGCGGGGUAAGAGCCCACCAAGGCGACGAUCGGUAGCUGGUCUGAGAGGAUGAUCAGCCACACUGGGACUGAGACACGGCCCAGACUCCUACGGGAGGCAGCAGUGGGGAAUAUUGGACAAUGGGCGCAAGCCUGAUCCAGCAAUGCCGCGUGUGUGAAGAAGGCCUUCGGGUUGUAAAGCACUUUUGUUCGGGAAGAAAUCCGUGUGGUUAAUACCCGUACGGGAUGACGGUACCGAAAGAAUAAGCACCGGCUAACUUCGUG
rnacentral:rRNA from 1 species